UAUGCAUUGUCUUAAUUCGAAAAUCUGUAGACACUACGGUCAGGUGUAUAAGCUGGGAUUUAUUUCUUGGUUUGUUUCCUUUGAUGUCCUGGACAAACCGGGAGACCUGCUUCAUUACCCGGUCCGAUUUGAUGACACAAACCUCUCCACGGUAGCGUCGUGGAUUUAUUCAACAUUAAGCUAACAUGUGCAAAUUCUCUCUGGUAGGCGAGUGUCUGUACUUUCCCACCGAGGUUGUAUCUGACAAGAGACCGAGAUUACGGGUUCGCCUCUCAGCGUUGUUAAUCAGGGAUCUUUUUCGCGUUCCAGCCAUCAGCUUGCACUGUGGGGUAUCCUCGGUUAACCCAUUUACCUCUAGCAAUGGAGAUUAUGUUAUCAAACGCGAUUCGGUAAACCUCCGGGGUUGACUGAUUAUCCGUGAUCCGUUGGUGGUUGAGUGUCGAAAUAUAUCCUUUU